rnacentral:rRNA from 1 species
GAGUUUGAUCGUGGCUCAGAACGAACGCUGGCGGCGUGCCUAACACAUGCAAGUCGAACGCGAAAGUCCUUCGGGAUGAGUAGAGUGGCGCACGGGUGAGUAACACGUGGGUAAUCUGCCCUUUGGCCUGGGAUAACUCGGGGAAACUCGAGCUAAUACCGGAUGAGACCACGGAACGAGAGUUCUGUGGGAAAAGCGGGGGACUUCUUCGGAAGCCUCGCACCUAAGGAUGAGCCCGCGUCCCAUCAGCUAGUUGGUAGGGUAAUGGCCUACCAAGGCGAAGACGGGUAGCUGGUCUGAGAGGAUGAUCAGCCACACUGGAACUGAGACACGGUCCAGACUCCUACGGGAGGCAGCAGUGGGGAAUAUUGCGCAAUGGGCGAAAAGCCUGACGCAGCAACGCCGUGUGAGUGAUGAAGGCCUUCGGGUCGGU